GACGAACGCUGGCGGCGUGCAUAACACAUGCAAGUCGAACGAUGAAGCCUAGCUUGCUAGGUGGAUUAGUGGCGAACGGGUGAGUAAUACGUGAGUAACCUACCUUUAACUCUGGGAUAAGCCCGGGAAACUGGGUCUAAUACCGGAUACGACCAAUCUCCGCAUGGGGUGUUGGUGGAAAGCGUUAUGUAGUGGUUAUAGAUGGGCUCACGGCCUAUCAGCUUGUUGGUGAGGUAACGGCUCACCAAGGCGACGACGGGUAGCCGGCCUGAGAGGGUGACCGGCCACACUGGGACUGAGACACGGCCCAGACUCCUACGGGAGGCAGCAGUGGGGAAUAUUGCACAAUGGGCGCAAGCCUGAUGCAGCGACGCCGCGUGAGGGAUGACGGCCUUCGGGUUGUAAACCUCUGUUAGCAGGGAAGAAGAGAGAUUGACGGUACCUGCAGAGAAAGCGCCGGCUAACUACGUGCCAGCAGCCGCGGUAAUACGUAGGGCGCGAGCGUUGUCCGGAAUUAUUGGGCGUAAAGAGCUUGUAGGCGGUUUGUCGCGUCUGCUGUGAAAGGCCGGGGCUUAACUCCGUGUAUUGCAGUGGGUACGGGCAGACUAGAGUGCAGUAGGGGAGACUGGAAUUCCUGGUGUAGCGGUGGAAUGCGCAGAUAUCAGGAGGAACACCGAUGGCGAAGGCAGGUCUCUGGGCUGUAACUGACGCUGAGAAGCGAAAGCAUGGGGAGCGAACAGG
rnacentral:rRNA from 1 species